GCCUGGGUAGCUCAGUUGGUUAAGCAUCUGACUUCAGCUCAGGUCAUGAUCUCAUGGUUCGUGGGUUCGAGCCCUGCAUCAGGCU
rnacentral:tRNA from 1 species